rnacentral:rRNA from 1 species
UACGGGGGGGGGCAAGCGUUGUUCGGACUUACUGGGCGUAAAGGGCUCGUAGGCGGCCAACUAAGUCAGACGUGAAAUCCCCAGGCUCAACCUGGGAACUGCGUCUGAUACUGGAUGGCUUGAAUCCGGGAGAGGGAUGCAGAAUUCCAGGUGUAGCGGUGAAAUGCGUAGAUAUCUGGAGGAAUACCGGUGGCGAAGGCGGCAUCCUGGACCGGCAUUGACGCUGAGGAGCGAAAGCCAGGGGAGCAAACGGG